AGCAGCCGCGGUAAUUCCAGCUCCAAUAGCGUAUAUUAAAGUUGUUGCAGUUAAAAGCUCGUAGUUGAAUUUCGGGAUUGACACAUCGGUCGUGCCUUAAGGGGUAUGAACUGGUGUAGUCAAUUUCUCACCUUCUGGAGAACCGCGAUGCCCUUAAUUGGGUGUCGCGGGGAACCAGGACCUUUACUUUGAAAAAUUAGAGUGUUUAAAGCAGGCAUUUUGCUUGAAUACAUUAGCAUGGAAUAAUAAAAUAGGACGGCAUGAUUCUAUUUUGUUGGUUUCUAGGAUCACCGUAAUGAUUAAUAGGGAUAGUUGGGGGCAUUAGUAUUCAAUUGUCAGAGGUGAAAUUCUUGGAUUUAUUGAAGACUAACUACUGCGAAAGCAUUUGCCAAGGAUGUUUUCAUUAAUCAAGAACGAAAGUUAGGGAUACGAAGACGAUCAGAUACCGUCGUAGUCUUAACCAUAAACUAUAGCCGACUAGGAAUCAGACGAUGUUAAUUUUUAAUGUACUUCGUUUGGC
rnacentral:misc_RNA from 1 species